GACAUAUUAUUCAAUAUUUUGGAUUGAUGGAAGUCAUUGGAGGCCGUUUGGUUUGUGUUCUAGAAGUGCAAAGUUGGGAAACUUUAUGUUAGCGAGGUAAGUGAGACUUUAUACUUUGAUACUUGCUUUUCUAAAAUCUAUUUUCAAAAGUCUAUUUUUCUGCCUGGUUCAUGUGUUGCGACAAGCGUGAACUUGGCAGAGUCGGUGGGCUUAGACUAGCUGCAUAUAUAUUAUUUUAUGGAAAAAAUAUUAUUUUAUAAGUUGUUUGAUAGUGUGAUACGGCUGUGUGCCAUGAGGUUGAGUUUUAUAGUUUGAUACGGCUGUGCGCCAUGAUAUUGAGUUUGACACGACUGUGCGCCAUGAUAUUGAGUUUGAUACGGCUGUGCGCCAUGAUAUUGAGUUUGAUACGGCUGUGAGCCAUGAUAUUGAGUUUGAUAUAGUUGUGCUCUGUGAUGUUGAGUUUGAUACGGUUGUGCGCCAUGAUAUUGGGGUAUUGUGUAAGCCUUUGUAUAUCACCCGAGCAUUGUGUAUAUUCUGUUACAUAUUUGAGACAUUGUGGUGCCAUUGUGGACUCGUAGAUGUGCUUUGUAAAUUUCUUUCACUACAAUUAUGAUAAGUCCUUAGUGAGUAUUCUUGUUGGUUAAUUCUUAAUAACCCUGUUGAUACACAUAUAUUGAGUUAUUGUAUAAUUACUAUGUUUACUAUAUCAUUCAUGUGUAGUGUGUUUGUAUUUUCUAACACUUAUUCCAAAGGUAUUUAAGUGGCAGGUCGAAGAUCUUACUGGGUUAUAUUUAUGUAUAACUCACUCCUUACAUGUAUCUCUAUGCAGAUACCGUUGCGGGAGAUUGAGUUAGUGGCUGACGAGUUUGUUUGAGUAGAUCUUAUUGCUGAGGUAAGCCACCGCAUUAUUUGUGGAGGCUUUCGUUUCAGACUUUCUUAGUUUGUAUUAGUUAUAUUCCUUUUUUUGGGGGUUUACAUACCCGUCAAUAAAACCCAUAUUACCCUGUUAGAUGCUCUAUGGUCCUAGUGUGAGAUUUGGGCUUGAUUUUUACUAUUUAAGUGAUCGUUGGUUCUUCUACCAGUUGACUAAAGUAUUGGGCGAUAAUCAUUACCUCUUUAAUUAUCAAUAAUACUUUAGGCCUGCAUUGGUUUCUCUCUCUCAGUGUUUGUGUAAAUGGUUAAACAUUAGAGUGCCUGGCAGGUGGUAUUAGCUGGGGGCCAAUCAUGUAUAGGGGGUAGUUUUGGACGUGACAUGUCCCAAGCAACUUGUUCGUUCCAUCUGAACCAAAAUUCCCUAAAAUUUCCUUGGGUUUCUUUUCUAUAUGAGAUAAGGAGGAGCAGUCUGGGACUAUGUCUAUAUUGUACUGAAAGUGUCGCACAAAUAUU
rnacentral:lncRNA from 1 species